rnacentral:rRNA from 1 species
GACGAACGCUGGCGGCGGGCUUAACACAUGCAAGUCGAACGGAAAGGCCCUGCUUUUUUGGGGUUCUCGAUUGGCGAACGGGUGAGUAACACGUGUGUAACCUACCCUUGACUUUGGUAUAACUUCAGGAAACUGGGGCUAAUACCGUAUAGGAUCUCCUUCUGCAUUGUGGGGGUUGGAAAUUCUCGGCUGUUGGGGCUGGAUUCGCGGCUUAUCAGCUUGUUGGUGGGGUAGUGGCUUACCAACGGUUUGACGGAUCGCCGGCAUGGGAGGGUGACCGGCGACAUUGGGACUGAGAUACGGCGCAGACUCCUACGGGAGGCAACAGUGGGAAACAUUGUACAAUGAGAGGACGCCUGAUGAAGCAACGCCGCGUGCGGGAUGACGGCCUUCUGGUUGUAAACCGCUGUCGCCUGUGACGAAGCGUGAGUGACGGUAAUGGGUAAAGAAGCACCGGCUAACUACGUG